UAGCCCAGAAGUGAUAACAAUAAAGGAA
rnacentral:piRNA from 1 species